rnacentral:lncRNA from 1 species
CCUGUGCCCCAUCCCAGAGGCAGGUGGGGGGAGAGCAGGUCUCAGCUCGGGUCUCUGGAUCCUUUGCACCCCAAAGCUUGUUCUUUCUAGGCUCCAAGAGGCCUGUUAGCCACAGAGAGCCCGGGAGCUCGGCCAGAUCAGGAGCCGGCCAAAGCCAAGAGAAAAUCGUCACUUAUGAUUACCACUCCCUGCGCAAGUGGGGCCUGAUAGCCGCCGCCAUCCUCUUUGUCCUGGGUAUCCUCAUCCUCACCUGGGUAAAUACGGGAAGCUCCCCAGAUGUGGGAGCCGGAAGCGGAGGAGGUGAGAGCUGCCCCCAUCCCCUCUUGGACCCUGCAGGGUCCCCCCAGACCAACCCAGCCUCCCUCACCCUCUCUCCCUUUUCCUUGCAGCGCCUAUGACAUCUCACGGCUCUGAGGCAUCCCCUGCUGGGGGAUCCGUAUGGGAACCGGAAACUGCUUGGAGGGGCCGGCUCGGAGCCCCACGGCGAUGCUGCAUACCUGGGGGCUGGGGCAGAACCAGCAGCACAGACCCGAGGGCUGCCAAGUGCCCCCCGCUUUCCCCUCUGUGACCCGCCUGUCAGCAGCACCCCAGCUCUGAUCACCCCGUCCUGACCCCUCUAGCCCCCAGCCGACUCCCCAGCCUGUCCCCCGGUCCUGGAUCCUCCAUCCAUCUCCUUUCCCCCUCCCAGCCUUGUCCGCCCAUCU